rnacentral:lncRNA from 1 species
AACUGUCAUUAGUUAGAUUGAUUCUGGAAGAUCAGCAUAAAGUAGGACAGAAAACUCAACUGGUUGCAGUCUGGGAGGAGUCAGCCUUCAUCGAAAAUGAAAUGGAUCAGGACAGAUGGAAGAUGGAGCAAAGCAGUCCUCAGUUCUCAAAGACAAGGGAGCGGAAGAUCCAUAUAGGCAGGUCACACAGAUACGUACCUAGUCACUGGUGCUCAUCUGGUGAGGUAAGAGUGUGGAGAAAGGGCCUGGAAGGAGGCUACUGGGUACCAAUGGAGGCAUUAGAGCCCAGGUUUAGAUGGAGGAGAGGGUUGGGUGCAGGGACAAAGAACCAAUGAGGGCCCACAUUCCUCAUUUUGCUUCACCGUGAGUUUCUUCUUCUGUGACUUGCUGUUCGCCUCAUAGUCAGGCUGUGCCCUGUAUUUCUCUCUUGGGCAUUUCAUUUGCUUCUGAUGUUUCUGCAAUAAAGCAGGACUGUUAGCACCCUGGGUCUAAGUAAAUACCUUCUGUGGUAACAGUUCACUGUCCACUACAGUCCCUCUUCAGCCUGCUAAGUCAACAGAGAGCCAGGUGUCUUUCUUUGAAGGGAAAGGAAACAAUAGCUAUAGAGCAACACCUGCUAGGACCAUGUGUCAAGUUUACUGCAGUUACAGUAGCUCAGAUAAUACGUGUCAUUGUUCCCCAGAUUGCUCCCUUGGGAUUAGCCAGCCCUGCUGAAACAAUUAGGGGAACAGAAAGUGAAGCAAAACUUCGGUAAGGCUGAAGCAAAACAAACACAUGCCUCUGCACGUUACACAGGAACAGGAACAUUCUUGGCAAGCACGUCCAUACUCUGUUCUCUUUCAGAUUCUAGGCUGGAAUCCAAAAACAGGAACCCCCAACUCCAUUGAUCAGAUUCACAUCAAAGCAGCUUGCCCUUGAUGUUCUCCCAUGCCCCCUCUGCCUGUUGCUGUCUACCUUCUUCCUCCUGGCAUCCGGUCAGAUCUGCCUGGGAUCUUUGACUAGUUUAUGUUUCCAUUUGUCUGAGUUCUCACUGUCUACAAACCUGGCUUUGGGCUUCUAGUACUUAUUUCCACCGGAACCAAAGCUCCCUGCCUUCACUUUCAUCUUCCCCAUGCUCAACCCCCACCCACCUUCAGGCCCCAGGUGUCUAUCCAACAGAUUUUACGCUUGAGUUCCACACAAAUUCCUGGACGGCCUGUGUGGCCUCUGCUUCAUCUAAGUCUGAGAUGUUUGCUUCAGGGUCUGCCAAGCUGUAGCCAGUCUUACUGAGCUGACUCCAACCACAUGGCUUCUCAGGCUUGCAACUGAUAGGCAAACUCAACCUGUCUUCUAGCAAGGGUCCAGUUCUUCCUCGUUUCCUAGUUCAAACCAAAGCUAAAUUUCUAUCAGCAAGUAUGGACUUGCUUGAGUCAGGGUCAGGGUUUUAUCUGCCUUCUAAUUGUCCUGAAAGAAUUUUGAUAGAUUUAUUUCCCAGUUAGUUGUUUGGGAUGCAAGAUCAUUCUUCAGGAUUUUGCCCAUUUUUAAUUGGUGGAGCCUUAAACCUAUGUAAAAUUUAUGUGAGGCUAGAUAUGUUGCUCAAUGAGAAAAUGGGCAAAGCCCUGGGUUUGAUUUUCUGUACCACAAACAGGGAGAUAUCUGGAAAUUAUGUCAUAUUAUUCCUAUCUUUGUAUGUAGGUAACUUUAAAAACGUGUAGACAGCUUUUUUAUGGCAGAGGGAAAUACCUUCUUAAACAAUUUAUGCUAUAAUUUGUAGGUUUGUGGUGUUUUUGUUAUAUUUUUCUAGUUUUAAAUUUUGAUUGUUAUUAGUUUGAUUUUUGCCUUUGAAAGAUAUGUUUUCGAAAACUCCUCAUUAUCAGCCAGGUAGGAUGGUGCACACCUUUAAUUCCAGCACUCAAAAGCUAAAAGGCAAGCUAAUAUCUGUGAGUUCCAGACCAGCCUGAUCUACACACCAAGUUUCAGGACAGUCAGAGCUACAUAAUGAGGCCUGUUUCAAAACAAACAAACAAGUUGACUAUCAUGGAAUGAUUUACACAAGUAUGUACCCCAGAUAUUUUAUUAAUGGCUAGAUUUGUUAUAGGCUGUCAGAGUGUACAAACAAGCCGUUUAUUUAGUAUAUACUUAAUUUUUUUAAUCACAUGAGAAAUUAAAUAAGUGUUUGGACAGAUUCAAGCACAAAGAAUUACCUUUUUUUCCUUCCUCUUCUUGACUGGAAUAGUCUAAGAUGAGGGGAAACUAUGGAGUUCAGCUGCUGUGUGUAUAUGUGUAUGUAUGUGUGUAUGGGUGUGUAAUGCAAAUAGCAUAUUCUUCAAUAGUCAAAUCAAUUUUAAUUAUUUUUGAUGUUUUAUAAGACACAUAUAAGUUAAAGUUUGCCAUUUCCAUCAUCUUAAAUGUACAGUUCAGCGAUUUCUUUAAAUGCAUUCUGUUGUUAGAUACCUGUCACUGCCGUCCAUCACUAGAAACCCUUCAGAACUUACAAGACUAAAUGCUAGCCCAUGGUCCAUUAAUUCCUCAUCGCUUCCCUCUCAAGCCCAGCCCCUGGUAGCCAUCAUUCUUCCUUUGUCUUAUAUCUAUGAUGCUGUAGGCACCUCACCCAACUAGAGCCAAGCAGAAUUUAUCCUUUUGUGACUAUUACAUUUCCCUUAGCAUAAUAUCCUCAAGGCUCAUCCUCCCUGUAGCAUGUGUCAGAAGCCCAUUGUUUUUGAAGGCAGGUCCCAAGGAGUGAACUCAGAUUAGACUUGGUAGUAAAUGCCUUUACCAGUUGCACAAACUCACUGGCUCAAGUUGUUUCUGUCUUUGGCUAUUGUAAACAGUACAGCUUGUGAGCAUGGGUGUACAAAUUGCCAGCUCAAACCCCUGCUUUUAGUUCUAAUACAUACAGAAUUGUUGGAUUUAUUUUUGAGAAUUCCCAUACUGUUUUGCAUAUUAGCAGCACCAAUUUCCAUUUCCAAUAAUCACAAAUUAGAGUUUCAAUCUUUUUCCAUCUUCACCAACAAUCAUUAAUUUCUGUUUCUAGUAAUUUCCUUUCCUAUAAAUUUGAAAUAUGUAGGAAUCUUUGAAUAUUGCUUCUUGCUGACUAAGAAUCCAAAUUAUAAUUGAAGGCUAGCCUAGUCUCCAGAGGUAGUUCCAUGACAACCAAGGCUAAACAAAGACACACUGUCUCAAAAAAC